UCCCAUCAUCCAGCCAAUCGCCCCUCCACCUUAGCCGCGUUGUCUCGACCAUGCCAUCGUCGCCCUCGCCGAGCUAAUCGCCCCCUCGCUGUUCACUCGUCGUGCACCUCCACAGGCACACAUGAUACCUUUUUCAUGUUCCUUCCUCCGCCGCGCGCUCGUCCAUGAAGGCCAUGUCGGCCACAAGCUCGUCCGGGACAUGCGGCGUUGCUUCUCUGUGCUAUCUAAUCAAGCGCCAUGAUUGCAGUCGAUUAGUCAAGUGUUACUUCUUACAAACCCCAACCAUACGAACAUCUUCUUCUAUAAAGGCAUCACCACAAUGAAUGGGGCUGCGAUUUCUGGCAAUGGGAGCUCUCGUAUGUUCUGUAUUUGGUGCAACAUGGCGAUCUGGGGGAGCAUGUGGUGCAAGAUGAAGAGAUAUAAUAGAUGAGAAGAUAUGUAGUUCCAAACGUAGCAGUAGGAAAUAAAGUAGUGGUUGUCUUGAAGGAGAUGGUUGCUUUACAAUUUUGCACUAGUUGUAUU